UGGGGAAUUUUGGACAAUGGGCGAAAGCCUGAUCCAGCAAUGCCGCGUGUGUGAAGAAGGCCUUCGGGUUGUAAAGCACUUUUGUCCGGAAAGAAAUCCUUGGCUCUAAUACAGUCGGGGGAUGACGGUACCGGAAGAAUAAGCACCGGCUAACUACGUGCCAGCAGCCGCGGUAAUACGUAGGGUGCAAGCGUUAAUCGGAAUUACUGGGCGUAAAGCGUGCGCAGGCGGUUUGCUAAGACCGAUGUGAAAUCCCCGGGCUCAACCUGGGAACUGCAUUGGUGACUGGCAGGCUAGAGUAUGGCAGAGGGGGGUAGAAUUCCACGUGUAGCAGUGAAAUGCGUAGAGAUGUGGAGGAAUACCGAUGGCGAAGGCAGCCCCCUGGGCCAAUACUGACGCUCAUGCACGAAAAGCGUGGGGGAGCAAAACAGGAUUAGAUACCCUGGUAGUCCACGCCCUAAAACAAUGUCAACUAGUUGUUGGGGAUUCAUUUUCCUUAGUAACGUAGCUAACGCGUGAAGUUGACCGCCUGGGGAGUACGGUCGCAAGAUUAAAACUCAAAUGAAUUGACGGGGUCAUAGCUGUUUCCU
rnacentral:rRNA from 1 species